AAAAGGGCUGUACAUAUCUGUGGGCUCUUCCUCCUGCUCCUGUCACCACAACAACUAGUGUGUGGAGCACAACUAGCCUGACCCUCUAGCAUGGCUGCUCACAUCUGUAAUCCCAGCACUUUGGGAGGCCAAGGUGGGAGCACUGCUUGAGCCCAGGAGUUUGAGGAUUGACGCCAGCCUGGGAAAAAAGGCAAGAACUCCAUCUCUAGAAAUAUAUAUAUAUAUAUAUAAAAUGCAUAUAUGAGCCAGGCAUGAUGUUGCAUGCCUAUAGUGCCAACUACUCAGGAGGCUGAGGUGGGAGAAUCCCUUGAGCCCAGAAGUGUGCAGCUGCAGUGAGCCAUGAUUACUCCACUGCACUUUAGCCUGAGCAACACUGUAAGACCCUAUUUCAAAAAAAUAAAAAUAAAAUAAAAUAAAAUAAUAACACCAAAA
ensembl:lncRNA novel transcript